GCGUCAUGACGUCACGCCCACCGGUCCUGCCCUGGGCCGCGGUGGGACACAAUCGUUUCCCAGAACUCGUUUGCCCGGCGCCGUCCUUGGAGCUGUCCGUACGCCCCGCCCUUGAGCGGAGCAGUUAGUAGCCUUCCUGCCUCUCCAGCCCGCAGGACUCCGCCUUGAGCGUGCCGAGCUGUGGGGCAGGUGUCUCCCCACUGCCUUCUUUUUCGCUCAGAGAGCGCCUCGUCCUGGGACCAGUGGGGAUAGCUGGAGCUGCGCCCGAGUUCACCCGCUUGAUGGGCAGCCCAAGAACAGGACCGGUGUUGCAGCGUAUUCUUGCCACUCUCGCUCUCAAGGAAAUGUCAUUCCCCAGAGAGUGGCAGCACCCUUUCAGCAGGGCCCUGCACGGUCGCAGCUCUCUCUCCGCUCCACUUGGUUCUAAUAGACUUCAGUCUUCCUCAGGGCCUGCUAGGAGCAAGAACUCCUUUUUUUUUUUUUUUUUUUUUAAUUUCAAAAAGUCCAUUUAAGUGUUCAGAAUUCACAUUUUCAGUCCUUAUUGGUCUCUAAUGCAUUUUUUGAUUACUUUAAUCCAGCUUUAUCUGUUCUGUCCCUCAUCCUUUGAGCCAGUCGUCUCUGAAUUUUUUAACCUAUGUAUGCCUAUAAGUUCUUAACUGAAUAAAGAAACUCAGUCCAGG